GAACCUUGGCGCAGUGGUAGCGCGUGAGAUUCCAGGGCACACUCCAGGAGUACGCCAAAAGUGAGAUAAGUAAGGCCGGAAGUCCUCAAGGUCAUCCGUUCAAUCCGGGUAGGGUUCA